GUAUACGUCCUUCCCGGGAUUAGCCAGGCAGCUAGAGGAUGACUUAAUAAGGAGAGUGGAGAAACUGGCCAAUUAAUGAACAUGCCCUGAUCAUUAAUCCACCACUGAAGGAAGUCAGAGCAGAAACUCAAGCAGGGACUUGAAGAAGAAACCAUGGAGGAAUACGGCUUGCUGGCUCACCUAAGGAAGACCACUGAAGCCACCGCAGACAGCAGAACCUCAAUCAGCUUGAAAGAGAAUGGGCUCAACAAAAGAGCAAACUGUCAACAGUGAUGAUGAGGUGCAACAUUCAACUUCACAGUUCUUGGAAUCACAGACCUGGAGGAGUGGACUUCCUGGGAUGAAGAUGAGCCCACUAGUGCAUCGAAGGAGGGAAUGGGAUUGUGGCAACACAGCAGAACUCUUUGGAGCAACUGGAACCUGACUACUUCGAGGCCAUAACUCCAACUAUACAGAAAACUCAGAAAAUUGUCAUUAAGAAGAGAGAACCAUUGAAUUUUGGUGUCCCAGAUGGUAGCACAGGUUUUUCCAGUAGAUUGGCAGCUGCACAAGAUAGGCCUUUUAUUCAUCAGUCUUCAAAAUUAGGUGACUUAGAUACGUGGCAAGAAAAUACCAGUGCAUGGGAAGAGGAAGAAGACGCAGCCUGGCAAGCAGAAGAAGUCCUGAAGCAGCAGAAAAUUUCAGACGGAGAGAAGAGACAGCAGAACAACAAAGGAAGAAAACGGAGAAGGAAGCGCAACGCCCUAUAAAGAAGGAGCAAAGCAAAGUCUGUGUGAAGCUUUCCUAACAGGCUUUGUGAGUCUGGGCGCACAGCCUACACGCAAGCAUUUGCAUGCACUGGACAGUAUUCUCAGAAUACAAACACUCUGCUAGAUCUCAGUUUGUUAUUGAGCUAUCCAGGACACCAGGAUUCUCCCAUAAUACCUUGAACUAUUAGGAAUCAAGACUCAAAACACAAAAAUAAUGAGACAAUUAUUUUCUUCAAUGUGUUCCAAAUAGAAGACAAUUGUUUGCUGUAGAGAAGUUAUUUCAAGAGGAAUAUACCUGACAAGUACCUCUCAAGCUAGUGUUUCUAGAUGAACAAAGGGCUGUAAAUAAUUUUAUGGUGGAAAAGUACCCUGCUACUUACUAUGCUU
rnacentral:lncRNA from 1 species